rfam:Triticum aestivum genome assembly, contig: Triticum_aestivum_CS42_TGACv1_scaffold_221344_3B
UUUGUACUCCCUCCGUCCCAAAAUUUUUGUCGGGAAAAUGGAUAUAUCUAGACGUAUUUUAGUUCUAGACACAUCCAUUUUUCCGACAAGUAAUUCCGGACGGAAGGAGUAUUAU